UACGAAGGGGGCUAGCGUUGCUCGGAAUCACUGGGCGUAAAGCGCACGUAGGCGGUUUGUUAAGUCAGGGGUGAAAUCCCAGAGCUCAACUCUGGAACUGCCUUUGAUACUGGCAAGCUCGAGUCCGGAAGAGGUAAGUGGAACUCCUAGUGUAGAGGUGGAAUUCGUAGAUAUUAGGAAGAACACCAGUGGCGAAGGCGGCUUACUGGUCCGGAACUGACGCUGAGGUGCGAAAGCGUGGGGAGCAAACAGG
rnacentral:rRNA from 1 species